rnacentral:tRNA from 1 species
UUCUUAUUAGUAUAUACCUAGUACAUUUGCCUUCCAAGCAGAAAGUCCUAUAUUAAGGUUAAGAAA